GAUGAACGCUGGCGGCGUGCCUAAUACAUGCAAGUCGAGCGAACAGACGAGGAGCUUGCUCCUCUGACGUUAGCGGCGGACGGGUGAGUAACACGUGGAUAACCUACCUAUAAGACUGGGAUAACUUCGGGAAACCGGAGCUAAUACCGGAUAAUAUAUUGAACCGCAUGGUUCAAUAGUGAAAGACGGUUUUGCUGUCACUUAUAGAUGGAUCCGCGCCGCAUUAGCUAGUUGGUAAGGUAACGGCUUACCAAGGCAACGAUGCGUAGCCGACCUGAGAGGGUGAUCGGCCACACUGGAACUGAGACACGGUACAGACUACUACGGGAGGCAGCAGUAGGGAAUCUUCCGCAAUGGGCGAAAGCCUGACGGAGCAACGCCGCGUGAGUGAUGAAGGUCUUCGGAUCGUAAAACUCUGUUAUUAGGGAAGAACAAAUGUGUAAGUAACUAUGCACGUCUUGACGGUACCUAAUCAGAAAGCCACGGCUAACUACGUG
rnacentral:rRNA from 1 species